rnacentral:lncRNA from 1 species
UAAUCUAUAUAAAACCAGGUGCUCCGCAGGGCGCAGCUUUAUACGACCGCAGAGGUCGAACCCUGAACAGUUGGGGCAAGUAUGGACAAAACAUUCAAGCGUGAUACAGCUCUGAAUUUGGAUUGUGAUCAAAUUUUUGACAUUACAUGGUUUUUUUUUUACACAAAACAAAUGUCAAGAUUUUACAAAUCAAUCAAAGAUUUCUUCUUCAAACUUAUUUAAAUCUAAAAUUAAAUAGUUGACACAGCAUAGGUUUCUGACACAGUAUGAAUGUGGUCUAAUGAACUUAAAAAAUUUUUUUUGCCUUUGAGCAAUUCAUUAUGCUGUUGAAUAUUAAUCCUCUAAAAAAAAAUUUGAAGAAAUUU